rnacentral:lncRNA from 1 species
GAUUUUUGAGAUCAGGAAUUUCGAUUGGAGGAAGAUUUUUUCUAGCACGAUACUCCCGAAUUCGUCGUAAUAAUCGGAGAUAUCGUUCAACAUCGUUGAUUCAUAAGUAGUACGGCUCGCCUUGUGAGCGAGUGUGUGGCAUACAAAUCAACGUAAAAAGGAAAAAAAAUAAAAAUAGCCUUAGUCUCUACAGCGUAACAA